rnacentral:rRNA from 1 species
GAUGAACGCUGGCGGCGUGCCUAAUACAUGCAAGUCGAGCGAACAGACGAGGAGCUUGCUCCUCUGACGUUAGCGGCGGACGGGUGAGUAACACGUGGAUAACCUACCUAUAAGACUGGGAUAACUUCGGGAAACCGGAGCUAAUACCGGAUAAUAUAUUGAACCGCAGGGUUCAAUAGUGAAAGACGGUUUUGCUGUCACUUAUAGAUGGAUCCGCGCCGCAUUAGCUAGUUGGUAAGGUAACGGCUUACCAAGGCAACGAUGCGUAGCCGACCUGAGAGGGUGAUCAGCCACACUGGAACUGAGACACGGUCCAGACUCCUACGGGAGGCAGCAAUAGGGAAUCUUCCGCAAUGGGCGAAAGCCUGACGGAGCAACGCCGCGUGAGUGAUGAAGGUCUUCGGAUCGUAAAACUCUGUUAUUAGGGAAGAACAAAUGUGUAAGUAACUAUGCACGUCUUGACGGUACCUAAUCAAAAAGCCACGGCUAACUACGUG